GUCUACUCUAAUGUGAUGCUGGGAUUGAAUUUUCCUAGGACUCCGUUUCAAGGUUAAUUCGAAAGUCUUGUGGAAGAUCUGGAAGAAACAGCAGCAGCAGCAGCAGCAGCAACAGCAAUUGGCAGCCCAGCAGCUUGUCUUCCAGCAGCAGCUUCUCCAGAUGCAACAACUCCAGCAGCAGCAGCAUCUGCUCAGCCUUCAGCGUCAGGGACUCAUCUCCAUUCCACCUGGCCAGGCAGCACUUCCUGUCCAAUCGCUGCCUCAAG
rnacentral:lncRNA from 1 species